CAGAACUUGAAGAAAUUGCCUAACUGCAUCUCAGAUGAAGUUACAAUUCUGCCUCUGCUCAGGAGAAUGAGUUUGUUAUCGCGUACUAUCUCUGGGAUGAGCUACAAUACAACCUUCUACAAGAGUUCUUCGGUCCAGAUUCGCCAGCCGAUGACGACAUGGGGGAAGUGGUUACUCCGCCAAAGCCUAAGUGAUAAAUUGAUUGAGGUUAUCGUGGUUAUGUCUGUCAAAGCUUAAUCGAUGAAUUUAUUAUAGGUUGUCGCGGUAAUCUUAUUGAUGCACAUUACUGUGUUUUAGUGGAUGUAGGAGUAAGAACUAUGUUUUAAUUUUGAUUUUGGAUCCACUAAUGUUUUGGUGUA